UGGGGAAUUUUGGACAAUGGGCGAAAGCCUGAUCCAGCAAUGCCGCGUGUGUGAAGAAGGCCUUCGGGUUGUAAAGCACUUUUGUCCGGAAAGAAAUCCUUGGCUCUAAUACAGUCGGGGGAUGACGGUACCGGAAGAAUAAGCACCGGCUAACUACGUGCCAGCAGCCGCGGUAAUACGUAGGGUGCAAGCGUUAAUCGGAAUUACUGGGCGUAAAGCGUGCGCAGGCGGUUUGCUAAGACCGAUGUGAAAUCCCCGGGCUCAACCUGGGAACUGCAUUGGUGACUGGCAGGCUAGAGUAUGGCAGAGGGGGGUAGAAUUCCACGUGUAGCAGUGAAAUGCGUAGAGAUGUGGAGGAAUACCGAUGGCGAAGGCAGCCCCCUGGGCCAAUACUGACGCUCAUGCACGAAAGCGUGGGGGAGCAAACAGGAUUAGAUACCCUGGUAGUCCACGCCCUAAACGAUGUCAACUAGUUGUUGGGGAUUCAUUUCCUUAGUAACGUAGCUAACGCGUGAAGUUGACCGCCUGGGGAGUACGGUCGCAAGAUUAAAACUUAAAUGGAAUUGACGGGGUCAUAGCUGUUUCCU
rnacentral:rRNA from 1 species